CCCUUAGAUGUCCUGGGCGGCACGCGCGCUACAAUGACGAUUUCAUCGAGCUUACAACCUCGGCCGAUAGGCCCGGGUAAUCUUUUCAAAGAUCGUCGUGAUGGGGAUUGUUGAUUGCAAUUUUUCAACACCAACGAGGAAUUCCUAGUAAACGCGAGUCAUCAACUCGCAUUGAUUACGUCCCUGCCCUUUGUACACACCGCCCGUCGCUACUACCGAUUGAAUGGUUUAGUGAGUUUUGCGGACCGGACUGACUGCGGUUUACCGCUAUCGGACUGGGAAGCAAAUCAAACUUGAUCAUUUAGAGGAAGUAAAAGUCGUAACA
rnacentral:rRNA from 1 species